UACAGAGGCCCCAAGCGUUACUGAGAAUCACUGGGUUUAAAGGGUGCGUAGGUGGCGCGUUAAGUCCGUUGUGAAAUCCCUGGGCUCAACCCAGGAAAUGCUUCGGAUACUGGCGUGCUUGAGGCUAGUAGGGGUCACUGGAACUGACGGUGGAGCGGUGAAAUGCGUAGAUAUCGUCAGGAACGCCAAUGGUGAAGACAGGUGACUGGGCUAGAUCUGACACUGAGGUACGAAAGCGUGGGGAGCGAACGGG
rnacentral:rRNA from 1 species